rnacentral:rRNA from 1 species
UACANCGGGAAGCCACCUGGCGACAGGGCGCGGAACCCGAAAACCUGUCUCAGUUCGGAUUGGAGUCUGCAACCCGACUCCAUGAAGCUGGAUUCGCUAGUAAUCGCGCAUCAGCCACGGCGCGGUGAAUACGUUCCCGGGCCUUGUACACACCGCCCGUCAAGCCAUGGAAGCCGGGAGUGCCUGAAGUGCGUGACCGCAAGGAGCGUCCUAAGGCAAUACCGGUGACUGGGGCUAAGUCGUAACAAGGUAUC